rnacentral:rRNA from 1 species
CAGCCGCCACGGUAAUACGGAGGGUGCAAGCGUUAAUCGGAAUUACUGGGCGUAAAGCGCACGCAGGCGGUCUGACAAGUCAGAUGUGAAAUCCCCGGGCUUAACCUGGGAACUGCAUUUGAAACUGUCAGGCUGGAGUCUUGUAGAGGGGGGUAGAAUUCCAGGUGUAGCGGUGAAAUGCGUAGAGAUCUGGAGGAAUACCGGUGGCGAAGGCGGCCCCCUGGACAAAGACUGACGCUCAGGUGCGAAAGCGUGGGGAGCAAACAGGAUUAGAUACCCGGGUAGUCCCUGUCUCUUAUAC